AGUGAACGCUGGCGGUAGGCCUAACACAUGCAAGUCGAACGGCAGCACAGUAAGAGCUUGCUCUUACGGGUGGCGAGUGGCGGACGGGUGAGGAAUACAUCGGAAUCUACUUUUUCGUGGGGGAUAAGGUAGGGAAACUUAGGCUAAUACCGCAUACGACCUACGGGGGAAAGCAGGGGAUCUUCGGACCUGGGGCGAUUGAAUGAGCCGAUGUCGGAUUAGCUAGUUGGCGGGGUAAAGGCCCACCAAGGCGACGAUCCGUAGCUGGUCUGAGAGGAUGAUCAGCCACACUGGAACUGAGACACGGUCCAGACUCCUACGGGAGGCAGCAGUGGGGAAUAUUGGACAAUGGGCGCAAGCCUGAUCCAGCCAUACCGCGUGGGUGAAGAAGGCCUUCGGGUUGUAAAGCCCUUUUGUUGGGAAAGAAAAGCAGCAGGUUAAUACCCCGCUGUUCUGACGGUACCCAAAGAAUAAGCACCGGCUAACUUCGUG
rnacentral:rRNA from 1 species